rnacentral:rRNA from 1 species
AAAAACCCAGGUGGUGUGAGAUGGAUCCGCGUCUGAUUAGCCAGUUGGCGGGGUAACGGCCCACCAAAGCGACGAUCAGUAGCCGACCUGAGAGGGUGACCGGCCACAUUGGGACUGAGACACGGCCCAAACUCCUACGGGAGGCAGCAGUGGGGAAUAUUGCACAAUGGGCGCAAGCCUGAUGCAGCGACGCCGCGUGAGUGAAGAAGUAUCUCGGUAUGUAAAGCUCUAUCAGCAGGGAAGAAAAUGACGGUACCUGACUAAGAAGCCCCGGCUAACUACGUGCCAGCAGCCGCGGUAAUACGUAGGGGGCAAGCGUUAUCCGGAUUUACUGGGUGUAAAGGGAGCGUAGACGGCGACGCAAGUCUGGAGUGAAAGCCCGGGGCCCAACCCCGGGACUGCUUUGGAAACUGCGCUGCUGGAGUGCAGGAGAGGUAAGUGGAAUUCCUAGUGUAGCGGUGAAAUGCGUAGAUAUUAGGAGGAACACCAGUGGCGAAGGCGGCUUACUGGACUGUAACUGACGUUGAGGCUCGAAAGCGUGGGGAGCAAACAGGAUUAGAUACCCUGGUAGUCCACGCCGUAAA